rnacentral:lncRNA from 1 species
AUAUUAGCCCACCAUAGCAGUAUAUAAAUAUAGACAUGGCAAACAGGUCGUUUUAACGGGUUUCGGGUUGUGUUCGUGUUAACCCAUUAAUUUAAUAGGUUGACACAAGCUAACGGGUGAGAAAUACCAGAUCCAAACACGACCCAUUACAAUUCGCGAAUGAACCGACACGACCCGUUAAGAAUAAACCAGAAAGGAAAAAAAAAAAAAUUAAACUAUCACCUAACCAACCAGCAACCCCACUCCCUCUACCCUUUUUCGCCUAAUUUUCAUCUUUC